rnacentral:misc_RNA from 1 species
GAUGAAGAACGUAACGAAAUGCGAUAAGUAAUGUGAAUUGCAGAAUUCAGUGAAUCAUCGAAUCUUUGAACGCACAUUGCGCCCGCCAGUAUUCUGGCGGGCAUGCCUGUCUGAGCGUCAUUUCAACCCUCAUGCCCCUAGGGCGUGGUGUUGGGGAUCGGCCAAAGCCCGCGAGGGACGGCCGGCCCCUAAAUCUAGUGGCGGACCCGUCGUGGCCUCCUCUGCGAAGUAGUGAUAUUCCGCAUCGGAGAGCGACGAGCCCCUGCCGUUAAACCCCCAACUUUCCAAGGUUGACCUCAGAUCAGGUAGGAAUACCCGCUGAACUUAAGCAUAUCAAUAAGCGGAGGA